rnacentral:pre_miRNA from 1 species
UGUAAACAUCCCCGACUGGAAGCUGGAAACCGUAGCUUUCAGUCAGAUGUUUGCUGC